rnacentral:lncRNA from 1 species
CUCUCAUAAUAUUGUCUUGGCACCACCACAUGGAUGCUAUCUAACCGGCCUCUAGGCUUCCACUACAAGUUAGGAUGUGGUGUAAACAGAUACUUUGCUUUGUGCCAAAACUUGUUGCCUCUUAUCAGUAAACCUUCAGAUCUAUUGGAUGGAAGCAUCCUAUACUUUCUUCUAACUUUCCAAUUACCAAUUCUUAUUAUGCUAGCUCUUACUGUUUGCAAACAAAAAGUUGCAGUUUUUUUAAUAGAAUUUGUGUUCUUUACAGCACCGUUCAAGUAAUAACCAAAUGGUGUUUCCCGACUUGAUCAUCACAAGUAGGUGAAUUAUGACAGCAACGAACAUAAACUAUUAAAGGAUAAAGAUAAUCUAACUUAUGGUCUGUCUCUUCAACCAAGGAUCACAACUCGAAUGACUUUC